rnacentral:misc_RNA from 1 species
GAUGAAGAACGUAGCGAAAUGCGAUACUUGGUGUGAAUUGCAGAAUCCCGUGAACCAUCGAGUCUUUGAACGCAAGUUGCGCCCGAAGCCAUUAGGCCGAGGGCACGCCUGCCUGGGCGUCACACGUCGUUGCCCCCCCCAUCUACUCCUUCGGGAUUGCGGGGGGCGGAUGAUGGCCUCCCGUGCGCCUCGUCGCGCGGUUGGCAUAAAUGCCAAGUCCUCGGCGACGCACGCCACGACAAUCGGUGGUUGCGAAACCUCGGUUGCCCGUCGUGUGCGGUCGUCGCGCAUCGAGGGCUCGAAAAAAUUGCCGGGCUCCGGCUCGACUUUCAACGCGACCCCAGGUCAGGCGGGGUUACCCGCUGAAUUUAAGCAUAUCAAUAAGCGGAGGA